rnacentral:rRNA from 1 species
UACGUAGGGUGCGAGCGUUAAUCGGAAUUACUGGGCGUAAAGCGUGCGCAGGCGGUUUCGUAAGACAGAUGUGAAAUCCCCGGGCUUAACCUGGGAACUGCGUUUGUGACUGCGAGACUCGAGUGUGGCAGAGGGGGGUGGAAUUCCACGUGUAGCAGUGAAAUGCGUAGAGAUGUGGAGGAACACCGAUGGCGAAGGCAGCCCCCGGGGUUAACACUGACGUUCAUGCACGAAAGCGUGGGUAGCAAACAGG